rnacentral:rRNA from 1 species
UGUGAAGAUGCAGUGUACCCGCGGCUAGACGGAAAGACCCCGUGAACCUUUACUGCAGCUUGACACUGAACUUUGACCUUACUUGUGUAGGAUAGGUGGGAGGCUUUGAAGCUGGAACGCUAGUUCCAGUGGAGCCGUCCUUGAAAUACCACCCUGGUAAUGUUGAGGUUCUAACUCUGUCCCGUGAUCCGGGACGAGGACCGUGUCUGGUGGGUAGUUUGACUGGGGCGGUCUCCUCCUAAAGAGUAACGGAGGAGUACGAAGGUGCGCUCAGCGUGGUCGGAAAUCACGCGUAGAGUAUAAAGGCAAAAGCGCGCUUAACUGCGAGACCCACAAGUCGAGCAGGUACGAAAGUAGGUCUUAGUGAUCCGGUGGUUCUGUAUGGAAGGGCCAUCGCUCAACGGAUAAAAGGUACUCUGGGGAUAACAGGCUGAUACCGCCCAAGAGUUCAUAUCGACGGCGGUGUUUGGCACCUCGAUGUCGGCUCAUCUCAUCCUGGGGCUGAAGCAGGUCCCAAGGGUAUGGCUGUUCGCCAUUUAAAGAGGUACGCGAGCUGGGUUUAGAACGUCGUGAGACAGUUCGGUCCCUAUCUACCGUGGGCGCUGGAAAUUUGAGAGGAUCUGCUCCUAGUACGAGAGGACCAGAGUGGACGAACCUCUGGUGUACCGGUUGUGACGCCAGUCGCAUCGCCGGGUAGCUAUGUUCGGAAGGGAUAACCGCUGAAAGCAUCUAAGCGGGAAGCCUACCUCAAGAUAAGAUUUCCCUAGGACUUUAUGUCCUCUAAAGAGCCGUUCGAGACUAGGACGUUGAUAGGUUGGAUGUGGAAGCAUAGUGAUAUGUGAAGCUGACCAAUACUAAUUGCUCGUGAGGCUUGACUAU